rnacentral:rRNA from 1 species
UACGGGGGGAGCAAGCGUUGUUCGGAUUUACUGGGCGUAAAGGGCGCGUAGGCGGCGCAACAAGUCACUUGUGAAAUCUCCGGGCUUAACCCGGAGCGGCCAAGUGAUACUGUCGUGCUAGAGUGCGGAAGGGGCUACUGGAAUUCCCGGUGUAGCGGUGAAAUGCGUAGAUAUCGAGAGGAACACCUGCGGCGAAGGCGGGUAGCUGGGCCGACACUGACGCUGAGGCGCGAAAGCCAGGGGAGCGAACGGG